UACGUAGGGUGCGAGCGUUAAUCGGAAUUACUGGGCGUAAAGCGUGCGUAGGCGGUUCGUUAAGUUCGUUGUGAAAGCCCCGGGCUCAACCUGGGAAUGGCAAUGGAAACUGGCGGGCUGGAGUAUGGCAGAGGGGGUGGAAUUCCGCGUGUAGCAGUGAAAUGCGUAGAGAUGCGGAGGAACACCGAUGGCGAAGGCAGCCCCCUGGGCCAAUACUGACGCUCAGGCACGAAAGCGUGGGGAGCAAACAGG
rnacentral:rRNA from 1 species